CGUAACCAACCUACCCACAACUGGGGGAUAGCCCGCCGAAAGGCGGAUUAAUACCGCAUAAUAUGAAGCAACGGCAUCGUUGGUUUAUAAAAGAUUUAUUGGUUGUGGAUGGGGUUGCGUAGCAUUAGCUAGAUGGCGGGGUAACGGCCCACCAUGGCGACGAUGCUUAGGGGACCUGAGAGGGUGAUCCCCCACACUGGCACUGAGAUACGGGCCAGACUCCUACGGGAGGCAGCAGUAGGGAAUAUUGGGCAAUGGGCGAGAGCCUGACCCAGCCAUGCCGCGUGCCGGAUGAAGGCCUUCUGGGUUGUAAACGGCUUUUCUCAGGGAAGAAAAAGAGGAUGCGUCCUAAACUGACGGUACCUGAGGAAUAAGCACCGGCUAACUCCAUGCCAGCAGCCGCGGUAAUACGGAGGGUGCAAGCGUUGUCCGGAUUUAUUGGGUUUAAAGGGUGCGUAGGUGGCGUGUUAAGUCCGGGGUGAAAGCCCACAGCUCAACU
rnacentral:rRNA from 1 species